UACGUAGGUGGCAAGCGUUGUCCGGAUUUACUGGGCGUAAAGAGCGCGCAGGCGGUCGUUCAAGUCGCGUGUGAAAGCCCCCGGCUCAACUGGGGAGGGUCACGCGAUACUGAUCGACUCGAAGGCAGGAGAGGGUAGUGGAAUUCCCGGUGUAGUGGUGAAAUGCGUAGAUAUCGGGGAGGAACACCAGUGGCGAAGGCGACUACCUGGCCUGUUCUUGACGCUGAGGCGCGAAAGCUAGGGGAGCAACGGG
rnacentral:rRNA from 1 species